ACUGGAGGACUAAUUAGAUGGAGUCUGAAGAGUGAGACUCUGUUAACACUAGCCUCCUGAAAGGAAAAGAAUGGAGAGAGCAGCCCUACUUGCAGAAGAGCAAAGGGCUGACUGCACCAUCCGACAUCA
ensembl:scaRNA